GAGGAUCCAAGCGUUAUCAGGAUUUAUUGGGUUUAAAGGGUGCGUAGGCGGAUUGAUAAGUUAGAGGUGAAAUGUCCGAGCUCAACUCGGGAACUGCCUCUAAUACUGUUGAUCUAGAGAAUAGAUGCGGUAGGCGGAAUGUAUGGUGUAGCGGUGAAAUGCUUAGAGAUCAUACAGAACACCGAUUGCGAAGGCAGCUUACCAAUCUAUAUCGGACGUUGAGGCACGAAAGCGUGGGGAGCAAA
rnacentral:rRNA from 1 species